GCAUGCCUACAGCAUAGCAUUAAUGCACCGAAUCCCAUUAGAACUUUGCAGUUAAGCGCACUCCGGAUAGAGUAGUAAUGGGAUGGGUGACCGCCCAGGAAGUCUUAGUGUUUUACAUGCC
rfam:Picea glauca, whole genome shotgun sequence.